rnacentral:lncRNA from 1 species
CUUCUGAUGUUCGGAUGUGUUCGGAGUCUUCCUUCUGGUGGGUUCGCGGUCCGGCUGGCUCAGGAGCGAAGCUGCAGACCUUCACGGAACUUGUGAGUUAUGGCAAAAGAUAUUAUGACUCCCAUGCUGCGGAUGAAGAAGUUGAUGCCCGUGACAGGAGAUUCACAAGCCUCCCUCCCAGAUUCAGGGAAGGAGAUGCAGCCCCCACCCCUUGACUGGAGGAGGACCAAAGUCACCUUGCAGAGUCACGUGAGAUGUGGAAGACGCCGGAACCGUCUGUGGGAAAUGGGAUCUGUACUUGGCUUGUCUGCCUCUUGCAAGCAGAGUCCUGGUUUUCAGGGCCUCACCUGUGCAUCUCUUAUUGAGCACGGAGGAGGCACUCAGCAUAAAUGAAGAGGAUGCUUGCUGAGCUGGCUAGCCCAUCCUCUCUUCUUUCCCUUGUUUUUCUAUUUUAUCUUUCAAAGCAGUAUUUCAAGUGUUUAUAAACUAAUCUAUGUAUAAAAUAUUAUGUGGCAUAAAAUUUACAAAAUAUUAAAGAUUUAAAGAAUCAAAUAAAAUAUUUGUAUACCAC